rnacentral:rRNA from 1 species
AACGAACGCUGGCGGCAGGCCUAACACAUGCAAGUCGAACGCUCCGCAAGGGGAGUGGCGCACGGGUGAGUAACACGUGGGAACCUACCUUCUGGUACGGAACAACCAAGGGAAACUUUGGCUAAGACCGUAUACGACCUCCGGGUGAAAGAUUGAUCGCCGGAAGAGGGGCCCGCGUCCGAUUAGGUAGUUGGUGAGGUAACGGCUCACCAAGCCUUCGAUCGGUAGCUGGUCUGAGAGGAUGACCAGCCACACUGGGGACUGAGACACGGCCCAGACUCCUACGGGAGGCAGCAGUGGGGAAUAUUGGACAAUGGGCGCAAGCCUGAUCCAGCCAUGCCGCGU